rnacentral:lncRNA from 13 species
CGUGGCCCACGUCCCUGCUGCAAUGCUGCAACCCAAUGUCAUAGACACUGAUUUCAUCGACGAGGGAGUUCUUAUGUCCUUAGAAAUGGGUUUGGACCGCAUUAAGGAGCUGCCCGAACUCUGGCUCGGGCAAAACGAGUUUGAUUUUAUGAAGGACUUCGUGAGCAAACAGCAGCCUGGCAGAGUGAGCUGUUGACUCGAUGGAAACCCCUGCGAAAGCAAUCAAACCCCCAACUUCUUUGGUAUGAAUUAAAAGAAACAUUCCUUUAGACACAGUAUCUCACUUUUCAGAUCUUGAAAGGUUUGAAAACUUGGAAAUAAAGUCAACUAUAAACUUGUACAAAUUAGUUUAAAAAAAUUGCUGCCACUUUUUUUCCCGUUUUUCUUUCGUUUUGCAGCCUUGACAUUCACCUCCCUUAUGUAAUUGAAAUAUCUAGCUAACUUGGUCUUUUUCGUCGUUUUUACUCCUUCCCCUCACUUUCUUCAGUGCUCAACUGUUAGAUAUUAAUCUUGGCAAACUUCUUAAUCUUGUGGAUUUUGUAGAUGGUUUCAAAUGACUGAACUGCAUUCAGAUUUACGAGUGAAAGGAAAAAUUGCAUUAGUUGGUUGCAUGAACUUUGAAGGGCAGAUAGUGCUGCACAAACUCUGCCAUCUUGCUUCAUUUUUUAAACUAUGCAUUUGAAUACAGACUAAUUUUUUAAAUAUGCUAAACUGGAAGAUUAAACAGAUAUGGGCCAAACUGUUUUAAAAAAAAACUUCCUGAUGGGAAAACAGUUACUGAUUUCUAUUUUCAGGGUUCUUCAAAGGACUAAAAGCAAAAGGCGACGACGCAUUCGUUUGACAAGUCCUAGCCGUCGGCCUUGGGGUGGUGGUCUCAACAUGUUUCCCAGGCUGGUCUCGAACUCUAGGCCUCACUCUGACACCUCCCAAUUCGGCUUUAUGAAGGUGUGAGCCACUGUAGCCAUCCCAUUUCUGAAGAAGUAAUAGCUGAAAAGUUCCCAGUCAUAAGGAAAAUUAUAAAUCCAGUGACCCAAGAAGCUGAGGAAACUGAAGCAUAAGAAACACAAAGAAAACUACUCCUAGAUACAUCAUAACAAUGUUGCUCAAAUCCAGCCAGAAAAGAAAGGCAUUGUGCAUGCACAGUAGCAAAGACCAGAUGGCAUCAGCUUGCUCUCUGCUGUUGCUGGCCUCUACCAGGAGCAGCAGUGCACGGGAGCAGACAGCAAACACCAUCUUUAUGGUACUGAGGAUGGGGAAAUUUACCCAGAAUAAGCACUGUGCCAGAAAAACAUACUCCCGAAACUGGAUGUGAAAUAAGGACAUUUAGAGAUGUACAAAAGCUGACCACAUUCACUACCAGCCGGCCCACAACACAGGGAACAUCAAAGGAGUCCUCCAGGCAGAAGGGAACAGAUUCCAGAUGAAAAUCC